CAAGUUGUUAACAAGUUGAUGACAACAAGCUCGUAGCAACUUGUUACGAACAGCCUGUAUUAGUCUUGUUGGAAUAACUUGUAGCAAGUCUGUUACCGCCACCAACCUUGUAACAAGAUGAUAACAACUUGUUCCAGACUUGUCACAACAACUGGGAACAAGCAGUGCGAACACAUCCUGAUAUCGACUUCACAACAACCUUGUUGCAACUUGUUUGCAGAUCUCUAACAACUUGCGCGUUUUUACGUGUGUAGUAUACAAGAGGGGUGAUCCUUUGUCUAUUACUUGCCUCUUUUGUGUUUCCUGUACAUGGACAAGAGAUUCGUUGAAAAUUUGGAGGAUGUGUUUGGGUAUAGAACACCCUAAGCAUCGAAAUAUACAUCCUCCUUAUACGCC